UUUGAUGUGACGAUCCUUUCCCCAAAUUACCGACUUUGAUUAUACUGUGCGAUUUUUCGAGUUCUGUCUCCUCGGAGAUGGCUCUUAAGCCAGAUAUUCUGAUCGAA
rnacentral:snoRNA from 1 species